rnacentral:rRNA from 1 species
UACGGAGGGUGCAAGCGUUAUCCGGAUUCACUGGGUUUAAAGGGUGCGUAGGAGGGCAGGUAAGUCAGUGGUGAAAUCUCCAAGCUUAACUUGGAAACUGCCGUUGAUACUAUCUGUCUUGAAUACCGUGGAGGUGAGCGGAAUAUGUCAUGUAGCGGUGAAAUGCUUAGAUAUGACAUAGAACACCAAUUGCGAAGGCAGCUCACUACACAAAGAUUGACACUGAGGCACGAAAGCGUGGGGAUCAAACAGG